GACGAACGCUGGCGGCGUGCUUAACACAUGCAAGUCGAACGAUGAAGAAGAGAAACGCGAACUUCGGUUCAAAUUUCACUUCGGAUUAGUGGCAGACGGGUGAGUAACGCGUGAGCAACCUACCUCUUACAAAGGGAUAGCCUCGGGAAACCGUGAUUAAUACCAUAUGACACAUUCAUAAGGCAUCUUAAGAAUGUUAAAGCUACGGCGGUAAGAGAUGGGCUCGCGUCCCAUUAGCUAGUUGGUGAGGUAACGGCCCACCAAGGCGACGAUGGGUAACCGGGCUGAGAGGGUGAACGGUCACAUUGGAACUGAGACACGGUCCAAACUCCUACGGGAGGCAGCAGUGGGGAAUAUUGCACAAUGGAGGGAACUCUGAUGCAGCGACGCCGCGUGAGCGAUGAAGGAAUUCGUUUCGUAAAGCUCUGUUCUAUGGGAAGAAAAGGACUGUACCAUAGGAGAAAGCCCCGGCUAAAUACGUG
rnacentral:rRNA from 1 species